UACGUAGGGUGCAAGCGUUGUCCGGAAUUAUUGGGCGUAAAGAGCUCGUAGGCGGUUUGUCGCGUCGAAUGUGAAAACCCGGGGCUCAACCCCGGGCCUGCAUUCGAUACGGGCAGACUAGAGUUCGGUAGGGGAGUCUGGAAUUCCUGGUGUAGCGGUGAAAUGCGCAGAUAUCAGGAGGAACACCGGUGGCGAAGGCGGGACUCUGGGCCGGAACUGACGCUGAGGAGCGAAAGGCGUGGGGAGCAAACAGG
rnacentral:rRNA from 1 species